UACCUUAGAGAAUCAACCUGGCUCGAUCCUUUACAGAGGAACACACAUAUACAUUGUCCCGUCACAUGAUAUCGAACCAGUGACUUCAAUCACAAGCUGACUCACAGGCAGCUCAGGAUUGCAACCAAUCAUUAGAAGAUUGUUUCCGCAGCCUCAAUCAGUGCUGAAGACUGCAAUGCUCGUCAUGCUCCUGUGACCAGCUUCAAGCCUUGUGUCACGAAAGCGAUGGUCUUUCGGCACUUCGUCUUUACAGAUGACUGGAUGCUUGUUUGAAUCCUUCCGAGACUUGAAGCUGGUAAUGCAUGCUUGGUGAUCAAGCUCAGUUGUGUUCUGCGAACUGGUACGGGGGUGGCUUUUCCUACACAUCGAGUAACACAAGUUGGGGAAGGGAGUAAAAUCGAAUCAUCAGACUCAUAUAUCCAGCGGAGACAGUACCCGAAGUCUCAACGUCGAUAUAGGGAUUUUUAAGACUGAUAGAGAUGGCUUCCAGCACCUUGAUACAGAAUCGCUCUUGUGGCGUUACGUCAAGCAUGUCUUCCUUUCAGAUUUUUCGAGGGCAACCUCUACGUUUUCCAGGCACUAGAACUCCUGCUGCAGUUCAAUGCCUAAAGAAGCGUCGAUGUUUGCGACCUACUGAAUCAGUCCUCGAGAGCUCUCCUGGUAGCGGAUCUUACAGGAUUGUAACUGGACCCUCCGGCAUCAAUCCUUCUUCAAACGGCCACUUGCAAGAGGGGUCCCUUACUCACAGACUUCCGAUACCCAUGGAAAAAUCCAUUGAUAACUUCCAGUCUACUUUGUACGUAUCAGACAUAUGGUCAGAAACCUUGCAAAGAACGGAAUGUUUGUUGCAGGUGACUGAGAAUGUACAGAUGAACGAGUGGAUUGAGGAAAUCAGAAUGUACUUCCGAAAUAUGACACUGGGGGAAAUAUCCAUGUCUCCAUACGACACAGCUUGGGUAGCGCGAGUGCCAGCGCUGGAUGGCUCACAUGGCCCUCAGUUCCAUCGGUCUUUGCAGUGGAUUAUUGAUAAUCAGCUCCCGGAUGGCGAUUGGGGUGAACCGUCUCUUUUCCUUGGAUACGAUCGCGUUUGCAACACUCUCGCCUGUGUAAUUGCCCUGAAAACUUGGGGUGUUGGGGCUCAGAACGUAGAGCGUGGAAUCCAGUUUCUGCAAUCUAACAUCUACAAAAUGGAGGAAGAUGACGCCAAUCAUAUGCCGAUUGGAUUUGAGAUUGUCUUCCCAGCGAUGAUGGAAGAUGCCAAGGCACUGGGACUGGAUUUACCAUACGAUGCCACUAUCUUGCAACAAAUCUCGGCUGAAAGAGAGAAGAAAAUGAAAAAGAUUCCUAUGGCGAUGGUGUACAAGUACCCCACUACUUUGCUGCAUUCUCUGGAAGGCCUGCACCGGGAAGUGGACUGGAACAAGCUCCUCCAGCUACAGUCCGAGAAUGGCUCCUUUCUGUAUUCACCCGCAUCCACUGCAUGCGCACUUAUGUACACAAAAGAUGUGAAGUGCUUCGACUACUUGAACCAGCUCCUCAUCAAGUUCGACCACGCUUGUCCAAACGUGUACCCCGUUGAUCUCUUCGAGCGUUUGUGGAUGGUAGACCGCCUACAAAGGCUGGGAAUAUCCCGCUACUUCGAGCGAGAAAUCAGAGACUGUCUACAAUAUGUAUACCGAUACUGGAAGGAUUGUGGUAUUGGCUGGGCAAGCAAUUCGUCCGUGCAGGACGUGGACGACACGGCCAUGGCCUUCCGCCUUCUCCGCACACACGGAUUCGACGUCAAGGAGGACUGCUUCAGACAGUUUUUCAAAGAUGGUGAGUUCUUCUGCUUCGCCGGCCAGUCCAGCCAAGCCGUCACGGGAAUGUUCAACCUCAGCAGAGCAUCGCAAACGCUCUUCCCAGGGGAAUCACUCCUAAAAAAGGCCAGAACCUUUUCCAGAAACUUUUUGAGAACCAAGCAUGAAAACAAUGAAUGCUUCGACAAGUGGAUAAUCACGAAGGAUCUAGCGGGCGAGGUGGAAUACAAUCUCACAUUCCCCUGGUAUGCUAGCCUUCCUCGUCUUGAGCAUCGCACCUACUUGGACCAAUAUGGGAUUGAUGAUAUCUGGAUUGGCAAGUCGCUCUACAAAAUGCCGGCCGUCACCAACGAAGUGUUUCUCAAAUUGGCCAAAGCCGACUUCAACAUGUGCCAAGCUCUUCACAAGAAGGAACUCGAGCAGGUCAUCAAAUGGAAUGCCAGCUGCCAAUUUAGAGACCUCGAGUUUGCUAGACAGAAAUCCGUGGAGUGCUACUUCGCAGGCGCUGCAACCAUGUUUGAGCCCGAAAUGGUGCAGGCGAGGCUCGUUUGGGCACGCUGUUGCGUGCUCACCACCGUUCUAGACGAUUACUUCGAUCACGGUACACCUGUGGAAGAGCUUCGGGUUUUUGUGCAGGCCGUAAGGACUUGGAAUCCCGAGCUCAUCAACGGACUACCUGAGCAAGCCAAGAUUCUCUUUAUGGGACUGUACAAGACUGUGAACACUAUCGCCGAGGAGGCAUUCAUGGCACAGAAACGAGACGUACAUCAUCAUCUCAAGCAUUACUGGGACAAAUUGAUCACUUCAGCUUUGAAAGAAGCCGAAUGGGCAGAGUCCGGCUACGUCCCCACCUUCGACGAGUAUAUGGAAGUCGCUGAAAUCUCCGUCGCACUAGAGCCCAUUGUAUGUAGCACUCUCUUCUUCGCCGGCCAUAGGCUCGAUGAGGAUGUGCUUGACAGUUAUGACUACCAUCUCGUCAUGCAUCUCGUCAACCGCGUAGGUCGCAUCCUCAACGACAUCCAAGGAAUGAAGAGGGAAGCCAGCCAAGGGAAGAUAUCGAGCGUGCAGAUCUACAUGGAGGAGCAUCCAAGUGUGCCUUCAGAGGCCAUGGCCAUCGCUCAUCUGCAGGAAUUGGUCGACAACUCCAUGCAACAGCUGACAUACGAAGUGCUGCGCUUCACUGCAGUCCCGAAGUCCUGUAAGAGAAUCCAUUUAAACAUGGCGAAGAUCAUGCACGCUUUCUACAAGGACACUGAUGGGUUUUCGUCACUGACAGCCAUGACAGGGUUUGUGAAGAAGGUGCUCUUCGAGCCAGUACCUGAAUAGAAUUCUAUCGCAUAAUCCACUUACUCGACAUGCAUACCAAAGCGAAACAUUUGCCAAUUGCAAACGGGUCCUUCUAGUGGAGCCGAAUUAUGCGUCCUCUUCCCACCCAGAAGUGCGGAAUACUCAACGAGUUGAUCACUUCUUCACUGUGAUCUGACUAGAAAUGAAAAUGCUUGUGUCAACUGCAGAUGAAAUGAGAUUGAUAGCUCAAUGAAUAUGCCUCAAACACGGAGUCCACAGUAGCAAGGUGGUCGUCACUCCGGAGAUAAGAGGUGCAAAUGCAUAAAUUCCUGUGAGAUUGACCAAAGCUUCAAUUCAUUUGAGGAAGCAAAAUUGAACGAGAAUAAAUCUAGCUUCAUUUCAUGAACUGGAGGACUUGGGAUCAAUCAUCACUGCGCUCUUUCUCUACAAGAAUCUUAUUUCAGCUUUGUAUUUUUUGGCCGAUUGAGAGUACUUCUGCACAAAAAUUUGCUAUCUAAUAUCUGUUGAGUGCACACACAAAAAUUCUGUAAAGUUUCAACUCUCAGUGAGAAUUUCUCA